ACUUCCUUGCAAAAAUGCCGGUUUGGGAUUCCUCAGAGUACAGACAAAAAGGAAGGCUUGAUCAGCAUGUGGUGGAUCUGAAGAUUCAAAGAAUUGCCAUGGCUCAAAAGUAGACAUUUUGGUAAAUGUGAAGAAGUGAGAUUCAAUGAAGAUGAUAAGAAAUGAAAGGUGUUACCAAAACUGCCACUGUGUUUCAACUGUCGCUGGCUGUGUUUCAACUGCCGCUGUGUUGGAACUGCCAGCUAGACUCCUCACCAAAAUGGGAGGUAGCCUCUGCUGCUGUGGUGAAGGUGAAGGCUUCUUCUACCGCCAGAAUUGGCAGUUUCCCUCGCUGGAUUCUCGGGACCUGAUCCAGGCAGCACACUCGACACACUCAGCGAUUCAGCUCUACAGUAUGCACUCUGGGAUCUCCCAUUUGCUAAGGAAAGAUCUUAGCUUUGAGAAAGUGGCAAGAGAUCCCCUCUUGAGGAGACUCCGCAGGAACACCAGAGAUGAUAGUGACACACGACAACUGAGGAUCAGGCCACCUGGUUUCGUCUGGGAAAAAGCAGAGGUACAGGCUGAGGAGAAAGGUGUCAAGCCUGUGGCAGCAGAGCUUCCUGGGGAGUCCUCAGAGCAAGUCAUUGCCAUUGUCGAAGUGUCUUCUAGGCUUUAUUUUGGGGCCAUUACCUCGAGCACUGUUUCUUGUCUGGUUUCCUAA
ensembl:lincRNA